rnacentral:rRNA from 1 species
AGAGUUUGAUCCUGGCUCAGGACGAACGCUGGCGGCGCGCCUAACACAUGCAAGUCGAACGAGCGAGAGGAGGUUUACUUUCUCAAGCGAGUGGCGAACGGGUGAGUAACGCGUGAGGAACCUGCCUCAAAGAGGGGGACAACAGUUGGAAACGACUGCUAAUACCGCAUAAGCCCACGACCCGGCAUCGGGUAGAGGGAAAAGGAGCAAUCCGCUUUGAGAUGGCCUCGCGUCUGAUUAGCUUGUCGGCGGGGUAACGGCCCACCAAGGCGACGAUCAGUAGGGGUUCUGAGAGGAAGGUCCCCCACAUUGGAACUGAGACACGGUCCAAACUCCUACGGGAGGCAGCAGUGAGGAAUAUUGGUCAAUGGGCGAGAGCCUGAACCAGCCAAGUAGCGUGCAGGAUGACGGCCCUAUGGGUUGUAAACUGCUUUUAUAAGGGAAUAAAGUGAGUCUCGUGAGACUUUUUGCAUGUACCUUAUGAAUAAGGACCGGCUAAUUCCGUGCCAGCAGCCGCGGUAAUACGGAAGGUCCGGGCGUUAUCCGGAUUUAUUGGGUUUAAAGGGGGCGUAGGCCGGAGAUUAAGCGUGUUGUGAAAUGUAGACGCUCAACGUCUGCACUGCAGCGCGAACUGGUUUCCUUGAGUACGCACAAAGUGGGCGGAAUUCGUGGUGUAGCGGUGAAAUGCUUAGAUAUCACGAAGAACUCCGAUUGCGAAGGCAGCUCACUGGAGCGCAACUGACGCUGAAGCUCGAAAGUGCGGGUAUCGAACAGGAUUAGAUACCCUGGUAGUCCGCACGGUAAACGAUGGAUGCCCGCUGUUGGUCUGAAUAGGUCAGCGGGCCAAGCGAAAGCAUUAAGCAUCCCACCUGGGGAGUACGCCGGCAACGGUGAAACUCAAAGGAAUUGACGGGGGCCCGCACAAGCGGAGGAACAUGUGGUUUAAUUCGAUGAUACGCGAGGAACCUUACCCGGGCUUGAAUUGCAGAGGAAGGAUUUGGAGACAAUGACGCCCUUCGGGGCCUCUGUGAAGGUGCUGCAUGGUUGUCGUCAGCUCGUGCCGUGAGGUGUCGGCUUAAGUGCCAUAACGAGCGCAACCCCUCUCCUUAGUUGCCAUCAGGUCAAGCUGGGCACUCUGGGGACACUGCCACCGUAAGGUGUGAGGAAGGUGGGGAUGACGUCAAAUCAGCACGGCCCUUACGUCCGGGGCUACACACGUGUUACAAUGGCAGGUACAGAGAGAUGGUGUUCUGCAAAGCGCAUCUAAUCCUUAAAGCCUGUCUCAGUUCGGACUGGGGUCUGCAACCCGACCCCACGAAGCUGGAUUCGCUAGUAAUCGCGCAUCAGCCAUGGCGCGGUGAAUACGUUCCCGGGCCUUGUACACACCGCCCGUCAAG